ACUUUCAUAGCUUAUAUUUAGAGUAUAAUAUUGAAGAUAUUAGGGAAAUUUUUUAAUUUGAAAGUA
rnacentral:tRNA from 1 species